AUGGAGCUGACGAAUCUCGAAUAGGACGAAACGCGCGUCCUGGAU
rnacentral:hammerhead_ribozyme from 1 species